GAUGAACGCUGGCGGUGUGCCUAAUACAUGCAAGUCGAGCGAACAGACGAGGAGCUUACUCCUCUGACGUUAGCGGCGGACGGGUGAGUAACACGUGGAUAACCUACCUAUAAGACUGGGAUAACUUCGGGAAACCGGCGCUAAUACCGGAUAACAUGUUGAACCGCAUGGUUCAACAGUGAAAGACGGUCUUGCUGUCACUUAUAGAUGGAUCCGCGUCGCAUUAGCUAGUUGGUAAGGUAACGGCUUACCAAGGCAACGAUGCGUAGCCGACCUGAGAGGGUGAUCGGCCACACUGGAACUGAGACACGGUCCAGACUCCUACGGGAGGCAGCAGUAGGGAAUCUUCCGCAAUGGGCGAAAGCCUGACGGAGCAACGCCGCGUGAGUGAAGAAGGUCUUCGGAUCGUAAAACUCUGUUAUUAGGGAAGAACAAAUGUGUAAGUAACUAUGCACGUCUUGACGGUACCUAAUCAGAAAGCCACGGCUAACUACGUG
rnacentral:rRNA from 1 species